ensembl:lncRNA
GCAGUGUGUUGAAUGAAUUGGAGGUCCCACAAACAGAAACACAAACACCAUGAACUCCCAGGGCAGCUUUGGCAGCAGCUUUUUGUUUCAGUCCAUCAACGAUGAACUGAGCGCAUCUUUGGCCACAGCAGAUGAGCUUUCACGGGAAUUCAGCUCUCUCCUGUCAGAAGCCACUCCUGUCGUGCAAACCACUACUUCAGAGAGUUCUGGCCCCAAACCCCAGAGCAACAGCAAUGGCAAUGGCAGUUUGUACAGCGCAAACAAGAAUGGAAAUGAGAGCAUCAGUACAAACUUCUCCUUUUCCCAGAGCUCCAUGAGCAGCCAGAGCUCAGACUCCAGCAUCAGCAGGAAGGAAUCUAACCUGGACCUUCCUCCUGCUGUCACAAUUCGAUCUACAUCUCCUGCACCUCACCUAGACAGUAUGAAAUUCAAGCCUUCAUCUCCUAGUCCUUUAACCCAGCAGCAUUCCUCUUUUACAAACCGUAAAGACAGCUCGGAUUCACGAUAUUCCUUCAACCAAAUGACUCCCCCUAAUAUGUCUCCAAAUACAAUAAGACAAAUGACACAGAUGCCGUUGAGACCUCAAGAUCGAAGCACAAGAGGAUCGUUGAGUUAUGGGGAACUAUCCAGCCCUUCUUAUGAAAACAAAACAUCUCGCACCUCACUGCAGCCCUCAGCGAGCCCCAUGUCUUCGAUUCCUAGGUCUCCGAGGUUGGAUCGAGCACCUUCUCAUCAGCCUUUUAGUCAACCAGCAGCCAGUACGCUUCCACGCAACUUCCAGCCAUUCAGACCCUUAGAAGAAGGAAUGCAGAGGCAAAAGAACCCACCUAAGUGGAAUGAGACUGACCUGGAUGCAUCAUACGAAAGAAAGCCUCACCACACCUAUGACAAGAAUGAAUGGAUCAGACAAUCUGUACCCAACAGCAACUGGAAAGAAUCAAACCUGGACGCACCUCCUGCUGCUAAGAAGGAUGCUGUGUCCCGUUCGCUCCCAUCAUUCCACAGCUCGCUCCCGAGGAACACUCGUAUCUCAGUGCCCCCUGAACUCGCCACAAGCACAAGCUCACCUUACGGCCCUCAGCAAAUCAUUUCCCGUAUCUCCAUUCCACCUGCAAGCUCUGGAGUCCGUAAGCAGAGGCCGAUCCCGCUUUCUUUCAUCAUGAGUCUACAGAACCCUUACUAUGCUGAGGUUGUCAGCAGAUACGCCCCUGGGCCAAUGGGAGAGCCCAAGCAUCUUCCCCUGCCCCGAGAGAACCUGCGGCAAAAUCAGGCACCUCAACCUCCGCAACCUCAAAGACAAACUCCCUACUAUAGAGAAGAAGUACUUCACCCUGGAGAUGUUGAUGCUGAGCUUGAGAGACCGGACAAAACAGAAGGCCCUGUGUACUUAACCAACCAAGGCAUGAAACCAGAAGAAGAGGGUAAAGUGGAGGAUACAGAGAUGCCUCCUCGCCCUCUCAGCCCCACACGUCUACAGCCCGUGGUGGCCCCACAGGCGGAGUUGGACACUGACGUGGACGAAGUGAUGCGUAUCCGGGCCGAGUUCCCCAGGGCCCUGAAGAAACGCAGCUCAGGAGAAAUUCCUCAGACCCUGCACAACCUGCCCCUUACCCAACCGCCCAACCAUUACAAGCAAAUGAUCAAUAAACUGUUUCGCAGGAAGACCACCCGUGUCAAAGGAGAACCAGCUGUUGAAAGUAGCAGCUCUUCAGAUGGGGAAGACACUUCCAAAUCUGCUGUAGCUACAGUUCCAGUACCAAUCAAAGAGAUACAGGUCUCUGCUGAACAGAAGGGUAUUCACUCUAUCUUACGGAAGGGCAGCAAAUCCAAUAAAUCCUCCAGGCGUAGGGCUCACCUGAGCCCACUGGUGCUGAUGUUGGAUGGGUCUUUAGUAGGAGAGUUAGAAACUGUGCAGAGGGCUGCGCAGGAGACGAGUGACCCAAGCCAGGCUAAUGAUGAAGGCAUCACAGCCCUUCACAAUGCCAUCUGUGGUGGACACUUCCCAGUGGUGGAGUUUCUUGUGCGGAUAGGGGCUAACAUUAGCGCUCCAGACAGCCACGGCUGGACACCCUUGCACUGUGCUGCAUCCUGUAAUGACCGGAAAAUGUGUGAGUUUCUGGUGCGGAACGGAGCAGCGGUGAUGGCCGUGACAGACAGCGAUGGGGCCACAGCGGCACAGAAGUGUGACCCCUACGCCCCGGGCUUCGAGGAGUGUGAGAGCUUCCUGAGAGGUGUGGAGGAAGCGAUGGGUGUAGAGAACAGUGGGGUGGUGUACGCUCUUUGGGGAUAUCCUGCCCAGGCUCCAGACGAACUGAGCUUCAAAGAAGGAGACAUGGUGACCAUCCUGCAGAAGCCUGAAGGGGUGGACUGGUGGUGGGCUUCACUGUGUGGCAGGGAGGGCUUCGUACCAAACAACUACUUUGGGAUGGGUUGUUUCAUUAAAGUUUUAAUUUAAGAAAAUGCAGAGUCAGAGACUUGGAGCUUCUGGAUCAAAAAAUGAAUAGUGGUUGAAUAAUUCUAUGUAAUAUAUUCAGGGUUCACAAAAUCGCUAGCCCGACGUCUCGGGGCUAUUGUGUUUUCCAGUCGGGCUAUCCUGCCCCAUGGGCUAUCUUGAAUAGGGAUAUAAAAUUUCUAACUUGAUUUGCGUUGUUCACUUGUAGGGGUGAAACUUGUAGUUGAUCAUUUGCACGUGUUUCUAAGUAUUGCCCAUUUCAACAUUCAAGCGUUUUAAAACAUUAGCGCACAUUCGAAGCUAGUGUGCUGGUUUCUCCGUGUACUCUAGUGAUGUUACGUUCGUGAACGAAAUGUUCUUUUUUAACAAAUCUUUCUCAGGAAUGAUUAAACCUCAAGCUAAUAGCCUUCAAGUAUGAGGUGUGACAGAGCAUGUGAUUUGUUGAAUGUAGUAAACAAAUAUGCCAUUCACUGAACGAGUUUCAGUUGAGUCUAAACGAGAUCGAGAGAUCUUCUUGUUUGUGAAUGAAAUGACCGAACUGGUACAUGUCGUUUGUGAACGAGUUGAAUGAACUGGUACAUUUAGUUCGUGAACGAAAUUAAUGAGAGUGUACCGGGUCAGUCGGCCAUUUAUCAUGUCAGUCUCGAUCAGCAGAAAGCGGAUGUAAAGCGCAGUUAUGUACUGUGCACAUUCGCUUGUUUAUAUAUUCAUAUUUAGCAUACGGAACAUAACACACAUUUAGCAUUUGGUGAACGAACUGAAAAUGAAUGAAUCUCUUGAAAGAAUCUAAAUUUCCACCACUAGCGCACUCAUUCAAAGCACGCACAGAGAGCCGCAUAUAAGACAAUGCGCGUACACAGAAUUGAUUCCUCUUUUGCGUAUCCUUGCUUCUGAAUGAAUACAUACACACAGAAUUAUCUCAAAAUAAUUGUCUCUGCAAGUAUUCUCGUAAACACAGUCGGUUAAGUCGGUGAACGUAAACAGUGGAGAAUGAAAUCUCCUG